rnacentral:lncRNA from 13 species
GGGUGGCUCACCUGAGGUCAGGAGUUUGAGACCAACCUGGCCAACAUGGUGAAACCCCAUCUCUACUAAAAAUAAAAAAUUUAGUUGGGGCUGGUGGCACAUACCUGUGAUCCCAGCUACUCAGGCUGAGGCAGGAGAAUUGCUUGAACUCAGGAGGUAGAGUUUACAGUGAGCUGAGAUUGCACCACUGCACUCCAGUGUGGGCAACAAAGCAAGACUUUGUCUCAAAAAAAAAAAAGUAAAUAAAAAAUAAAAUAAAAUGAUUUUUUAAGACAGUUGAAAAAAUCUUUUAAUACUUGUUACAUGUGACAGUGAUAGUAGAUAGCUAAGUAGAUAUAAAAUAUUUGUGCUGAAAUGUUUAGAAUAAAUUUGUGUGAUGCUUUGGAUUUAUUUUAAAAUACCCCAGUAGGCAAAAUAAAAGAUAGUAGGAAAUAGAUGAACCAAGAAUAGCAACAUGUGAGUGAUUUUUGAUGCUGCAAUACAGAUAUUUGGAGACUUCCCUAUUACUGUGAAGCUAUAAUGAUUUUCAUAGUAAACAACUUCAAAUUGUACCAUCAAAAGGUUAGAAUAAAAAUUUGCUACAUGCCAAUUUCACCCUUGAGAUGGUUUGGCUGUGUCCCCACCCAAAUCUUACCUUGAAUUGUAGCUCCCAUAAUCCCCACAUUAUAUGGGAGAGACCCAGUGGGAGGUAACUGAAUCAUGGGAACAGAUUUUCCAUGUUCUCGUGAUAGUAAGUCUCAUGAGAUCUGAUGAUUGUUUUAUAAAGGGCAGUUCCUCUGCACAUGCUCUCUUUGCCUGCCACCAUGUAAGACAUGCGUUUGCUCCUCCUUCCCCUUCUGCCAUGAUUGUGAGGGCUCUACAGCCAUAUGGAACUGUACCACAGUGGGACUGGAAAUUCAAUGUGAAGAAAAGAAGUUACAUCUCUGCUGUCUUAAAAAGAGUGCAAAGAUCUGCCAUUUUGGCCAUUUUGUUGAAUUCAAUCAUUAGAAAACCCAGACAUAUGUCUAAGGAUGUUUUUCAUGAUCUCGUCUAA